rnacentral:rRNA from 1 species
UGGGGAAUAUUGCGCAAUGGGGGAAACCCUGACGCAGCCAUGCCGCGUGAGUGAAGAAGGUCUUCGGAUCGUAAAGCUCUUUCAACGGUGAAGAUGAUGACGGUAGCCGUAGAAGAAGCCCCGGCUAACUUCGUGCCAGCAGCCGCGGUAAUACGAAGGGGGCAAGCGUUGUUCGGAAUUACUGGGCGUAAAGCGCACGUAGGCGGACCAGAAAGUUGGGGUGAAAUCCCGGGGCUCGAACCCCGGAACUGCCUCCAAAACUAUUGGUCUAGAGUUCGAGAGAGGUGAGUGGAAUUCCAAGUGUAGAGGUGAAAUUCGUAGAUAUUUGGAGGAACACCAGUGGCGAAGGCGGCUCACUGGCUCGAUACUGACGCUGAGGUGCGAAAGUGUGGGGAGCAAACAGGAUUAGAUACCCUGGUAGUCCACACCGUAAAACGAUGAAUGCCAGUCGUCGGGUAGCAUGCUAUUCGGUGACACACCUAAC